rnacentral:misc_RNA from 1 species
UCGCGGCUUAUCACCGGCAGUCCCCUUAGAGUGCCCAACUGAAUGAUGGCAACUAAGGGCGAGGGUUGCGCUCGUUGCGGGACUUAACCCAACAUCUCACGACACGAGCUGACGGCAGCCGUGCAGCACCUAACUGCAGGUUCUCCGAAGAGCACCCCGAUUUUUCAACCAGAUUCCUGCACUUUCUAGCCCAGGUAAGGUUCUGCGCGUUGCGUCGAAUUGAACCACAUGCUCCACCGCUUGUGCGGGCCCCCGUCAAUUCCUUUGAGUUUUAACCUUGCGGCCGUAGUCCCCAGGCGGAGCACUUAAUGCGUUAGCUUCGGCACCGCAGGGGUCAAUACCCGCGACACCUAGUGCUCAUCGUUUACGGCGUGGACUAC